AAACUUACCACUGACAUCAUUAGCCUAUUAAUUUUCUUAACCAAUUAAUCACAUCACCUUCCAAUCCGUGUUCUCCACCUUUAAUUAAAACAAUAUUCUUCUAAUACACAAAAAAGAGCAAUAUUCUUCUCUACAUUUUUAUUUAGAGAUGCUUGAUAUUCCUGUUGAGGUUUGUCUUCCUUUUUAUCUACUUCUCCAAUUAGAUUCCUUCUUUACGGGUUUAGUAUUUCAAUUUACACCUUGCAUCCUACAUGGAGGAAAUGGAGAGACAAAUACCUGUCUGGCUAAGCAUGAUAGUUCCUUCCAGACAAAACUGAUAUCAUAUCUGUUGGUAGUAUUUCAAUUUACACCUUGCAUCGUACAUGGAGGAAAUGGAGAGAUUGUCUGACUAAGCAUGAUAGUUCCUUCCAGACACACUGAGGUCAUAUCUGUUGAUAGUAUUUCAAUUUACACAUCGCCUCCUAUAUGGUUGAAAUGGAAAAAGACAACUACUUAUCUGAUUAAGCAUGAAAAUUCCUUCCGGACACUCUGAGGUCAUUUCUGUAGAUCCAUCAGGCUUUUCAACAACCUUGCCUUUUAGUAAAACCAUCCUUCUACUGGUUCCAGCAUUGUUCAGUCUUGCAUUUCCAAUUUUAAAAUGCUAUGAUCACCUUAAUAUUACAUUGUUAGUAGGUAAAGUAAUUUUAUAAAUUAGAACAAUGCAAAGGAAGUGCUAGUGCAAUCUAGGAAAAGAACAAACAACAAAAGUGUGCCCCAUCUAAUCUUGUAGGGAUUCUAAUGUUUGUAGAACUGUUUCAGCCUCAAUUAUGUGUUCCAUCAUACGCCAUAAGCGAAACAAAAAUAUACAAUUAGACUUUAUCUUGUUGGCAGAGCUCGCAGAAUCUUCUGAACAUCUUCUAUUUCUUACUGCCCAUACAGUCCACCAAAUACAUGCAGGUAUAGUAUUCCACCACAGUAGCUUCCUCUUCCUUAGGCCUUUUACGACCAGCACUGCAGUAGAUCAUUUGUUGAUCCUGGCAUGAUCUAUCUCAAUCCAAUAAAACUUAGGCUUCCACAAUUGCACAAUAACUCUGAAUCUCUUUCACACAGAAAACACUUGCUACAUAGGUAAGAGCCUCUUUUUGGAGAUUCUCACGAGUGAGACAAGCUUCUUUACACAACCAUUUAAAGCAAGCCACCUUGAAUGGAGCUUUGGAUCUCCAGAUCUGUUUCCAUGGCAAAAGACAGUAAUCUGUCCGCUUUUGUUAAAUUUUGUAGCAUGAUCUCAUUGUGAACAGACCCUUGUUGCUUGGGAUCCAUGUUAUGUUGCCUUCUGUAUUAGUUAGCUGCUGAUGUAUUUAGAAGACUGAAAAAUCAACAGCCCAGUUUUAACUGUCAUAAGCUGGCCCUCUCGUCUUGCUCUUGUCCAAGCUAGUUAUGCAGUGGCAUGUUGCUUACUUGGUUUGAUGUUUAAAAGGUAUGGCCAUAUCCAGGUUUUAGAAUACAUUGGUCUUAUGAAAGACUUAUCUGAAAGCAGUUAGAAGAACUGUUUUCCAAGACUUCCCAAAAUUCAACUUAUGCCAAAAAAUCAUUCCAGGAACUCAACAAAAAACCAACUCAGAAUGUUUUAACAUUUGAAUGGAGAAAGCACAACUCGGAGCCCUACAGCAAUCCGUCUUAUCAAUGAUAGGUUACACGCAAUUGUUGCAACUAUGCUGGCUACAUCAGUAAAAGGGAUAGCCAUAAUCCAUAGCAUAUUCAAUCGACCUUCCAGUGGUGAUUUGCAGCACAGCAGUGCCUGGCGCUGCACACAUUAAAAAUUCUGUUAUUUAUGGUCCAUCUAAGUAUUAAUUUGAUUCUUUUUUCAGAUAUGAACUUGUGGAUGGGCCUGUUUGGAUAACAUUGCCUCCAAUUUAUUAGAGUUGUGUCUAUAUGGCCACCA